rnacentral:rRNA from 1 species
UUUAAAUGAAGACCAGAACAAAAGAUUAAACGUUUUAGUUAAUAUCUAUAUUUAAUAACUUCAAAAUUAUCCUAAAAGUAAAAAGACUUUUAUAUAAAAGUUAGACGACAAGACCCUAUUGAACUUAACUUAAGUUAAACUGGGGCAGUUAAUUAAUUAUUAUUUUAAUUUAAAUUUCAAAAUAAAUGAUCCAAUAAUAUUGAAUCGAUCAAGUUACCAUAGGGAUAACAGCGUAAUAAAUUUUAAAAGAUCUUAUAAAAAAAAAAGAUUACGACCUCGAUGUUGAAUUAAUAACCUAACUUAUCGCAAAAGAUAGUUAAGGAAGUCUGUUCGACUUUUAAAAAAUUACAUGAUUUGAGUUCAGACCGGUAUAAGCCAGGUCGGUUUCCAUCUUCUAUUUAAUUUUUACAGUACGAAAGGACCUAAAAAACUAAUUUAAUUAUCAUUUUGGCAGAAAAAUGCGUUAGAAUUAGAAUCUAAACAACUAAACAUCACAUUCAUUCUUUCAUUCCUCCUAAUUACUAUUAGA